rnacentral:rRNA from 1 species
AGAGUUUGAUCCUGGCUCAGGAUGAACGCUGGCGGCGUGCCUAAUACAUGCAAGUCGAGCGGUAAGGCCUCUUCGGAGGUACACGAGCGGCGGACGGCUGAGUAACACGUAGGAACGUACCCCAAAGUGAGGGAUAAGCACCAGAAAUGGUGUCUAAUACCGCAUGUAGUCUUCGGAUUAAAGCUUUAUGCGCUUUGGGAGCGGCCUGCGUCUGAUUAGUUUGUUGGUAAGGUAACGGCUUACCAAGACUUCGAUCAGUAGCUGGUCUGAGAGGAUGAUCAGCCAGACUGGGACUGAGAACGGCCCAGACUCCUACGGGAGGCAGCAGUAGGGAAUUUUCCACAAUGGACGAAAGUCUGAUGGAGCAACGCCGCGUGCAGGAUGAAUGCUUUCGGGUUGUAAACUGCUUUUAUAUGUGAAGAUUUUGACGGUAACAUAUGAAUAAGGAUCGGCUAACUCCGUGCCAGCAGCCGCGGUCAUACGGAGGAUCCAAGCGUUAUCCGGAAUUACUGGGCGUAAAGAGUUGCGUAGGUGGCAUAGUAAGUUAGUAGUGAAAGCGUGCGGCUCAACCGCAUAUACAUUACUAAAACUG